rnacentral:rRNA from 1 species
AGAGUUUGAUCCUGGCUCAGAUUGAACGCUGGCGGCAUGCCUUGCACAUGCAAGUCGAACGGUAACAGGCCGCAAGGUGCUGACGAGUGGCGAACGGGUGAGUAACACAUCGGAACGUGCCUGAUAGUGGGGGAUAACUACUCGAAAGAGUGGCUAAUACCGCAUAAGAUCUCAGGAUGAAAGCAGGGGACCGCAAGGCCUUGCGCUAACAGAGCGGCCGAUGGCAGAUUAGGUAGUUGGUGGGAUAAAAGCUUACCAAGCCGACGAUCUGUAGCUGGUCUGAGAGGACGACCAGCCACACUGGGACUGAGACACGGCCCAGACUCCUACGGGAGGCAGCAGUGGGGAAUUUUGGACAAUGGGCGCAAGCCUGAUCCAGCAAUGCCGCGUGCAGGAUGAAGGCCUUCGGGUUGUAAACUGCUUUUGUACGGAACGAAAAGCUUCUCUCUAAUACAGGGGGGCCAUGACGGUACCGUAAGAAUAAGCACCGGCUAACUACGUGCCAGCAGCCGCGGUAAUACGUAGGGUGCAAGCGUUAAUCGGAAUUACUGGGCGUAAAGCGUGCGCAGGCGGUGAUGUAAGACAGAGGUGAAAUCCCCGGGCUCAACCUGGGAACUGCCUUUGUGACUGCAUCGCUGGAGUGCGGCAGAGGGGGAUGGAAUUCCGCGUGUAGCAGUGAAAUGCGUAGAUAUGCGGAGGAACACCGAUGGCGAAGCAAUCCCCUGGGCCUGCACUGACGCUCAUGCACGAAAGCGUGGGGAGCA